GGUCACACCCUCAAACAGCUCAACUUCAUGUCCAGUGCCUGGGGAACAUCUCCAGGUUCACUGCUGGUGGCCAACAGGAGUAUCAACCUAGCAUGAAGGUCCCUCUGUGAAGGAGGAACAUUGGAGACACCCCAGGGAGAGCGGUGAGAACAUGCCAGCUCCACACUUGAGCUCGGCUGGAGCCCAGGACCUUCUCCUGGGAGGCAGCAGAGCACCACCCUGCCUCGAGAGUGUCCUGGAGGCGCUGCUAAGGUGCCCUGCUGGGCGGGGGGCCAGCAGCACCACGGACAGGCGAUCCGUCACCAGACCCUGCUGCCACAUCUGUUACAGAGGCAGGUCCCAGCCCACUGACAUCACUCUGACUCUGGUUAGAAG
ensembl:lncRNA